rnacentral:tRNA from 1 species
GGGGGCGUGGUGUAACCCGGCAGCAUUAACGGCUCCAGACCGUUAGAUCAGAGUUCAAAUCUCUGCGCCCUCACCA